AUCUUUGCGCUUGGGGCAAUGACGCAGCUAAUGAGGUUCUAACUGAGGCGCGUCUAUUGCUGGUUGAAAACUAUUUCCAAACCCCCUCUUAGGCCUGGUUUCAGCCCUGGCCUUCGAGAAUUUCUGGAAGGGCUCCCUUCGGGGUAAAGCCCUACAAAUUAGUUUCAAAUUUUUAUUCUCUGACGGAAAGAAUUCUUUAUUUAAUUAAAUGUCAAAUUUGGCUAUAAAUAAUGUUAUUUUUGCUCUUUUUAUUUUUUGGGUGUAAAUAUCGUUCUGUUAUGUUAACUUUUUGUGUAAAUAUUUUCUCAGUAAAUGAGUUGUAAUAUUCGGAGUUUUGUAUGUUUUAUGCUGUUAAAUAAAUUUUACU